CAUGCACAUUAAUAUGAACAGGGAUAUGAGUAUUCGAGGAGUGGUAAUCCCACAAGGAACGUUUUGGAAACCUGUUUGGCUGCGCUUGACAAUGCAAAGUAUGGUCUAACAUUUUCUUCUGGACUUGGAGCGACAACUGCAGUGCUAACAAUGCUGAAGAGUGGAGAUCACAUAAUUGUGGGCGAUGAUGUGUAUGGUGGAACAAAUCGACUUGUGAGGUAACAUUACAUUUACAUAUAGCUGCGGUCAAAAUAAUAGUAGUGCCCAGACAAGUUUUUUAGUUUUCCCUUUAUAACAAGACUUGAAGGCACAUUCACAAAAAUUUUUAAUUUUUAUAGUAGUUUAGCUAAUUACAGAUUAUAAUAACUGAAAACAACUAAGGUAAUU
rnacentral:sRNA from 15 species